CGCGCGAAAGUAACAACCAAUCAGGGACACUACAAGGAUCUUUGCAGAGUUGCGUCAUUUGAAAGGAUUUUUGGUCGAGUGGCCAAUUAAAAUUCACCAUCUUUAUUUUAUCAACUCUCAGUUUACUCAGGAUAUAUUUUGCAUGGUAACGGUUUUAACAUGUAAGUGUUUCCUUAGUCAUUUCAAUCGCCUUUGACUUAUGCGUUCUGCAGGCUCUUCUCGUGAUCUUAGUUUAAUUAGUUCAGCAACGCUCACAACUCGGACUUCAUAAAAACUGACACACAUGUUAUAUUUUUUGCCUUUUUUCUCAGGCAAAAGCCGGUUUGGGAAUGAAUAUUCUGGCUGUCACCGUGUUGGUGAUCUGUGUUAACACAUAUGGUGUCGCCAUGUUCGAUCUGAGCACUUUUCCAGACUGGGCUGCAAGUCGUGCGAGCCCGACUCCAACGACCCUUUCUGACAAUGUCACGCACGUUUGCUGAAAUGUCACGUCUUUAUAGGACAGCUUCCUGGUCAGCUGUAUUAGAGUUCAAUAAAGGAAAGGAAAGGAACUCCCUUUGAACCCUCUUUUGAGGCACUCUUGCGAAGAAAACGUCUUAUCUCUUUCGUUUAUAUUGCAGCUCGCUUAGCUAGUUUCUGUAUUGAACAAUUUGCCAUCCCAGAACAGGUUGUUUUCAAUCUCUUGUUAUACCAUUAUGCCGGCAUUAUUUUGAGCAUAAUAGUGGGAGCAAAGAAUUCAACAUUAUGCCGGAAAAAUAGUGACAAAAGCAGGCUGAUGGUUGGGGGCCUUGGGUAGGCCAAGAGAAAUCUGGGCACCAGUCACAUGACUACUGUACACACAGCACAAGCCAACAGGUUUUGCUAAUUCAGUCUAAUUCAAUCCUAUUCUGCUGCAUUUGAGCGAGUUUUUCAUUACUAUACUGAGAAAACGCAUUUCACAAUAGCCAAGCUAGAGCAAUGGUGGAUUACAUUGCCGGAGUCGUUCCUCACGCGUAAAUAUGAUAAGCGUUCAGUGUAAAUAUUAUAAUUUUUUGUGAGCAUAAUGGCGCCUAGUAGUCGCUCCUUUGAAGAAUAAUAGUGAGAUACUUUGAGCAUCGAGCAUUACUAUUUAGCAUCAUAGUGAAAAAUCUGAACAAAAUGUGUAAAACCCUAAUUACUACCGCGUAGAUUUUCAAAUCUUUCUCGUACAAUAUUACCAAUAAAAUUCGGCCACCACUUACAAAACUACAUUUGCAUCAAGCAGCAUUCCUGCUAAGACUGACAUUAAGAAAUCUUAAAGCACAAAACAAGUUCAUGAACUUUACUCAGCUAUUGUUGAUGUACAAUUAUAUAACAAUUUUGCACUGAUAAAUAUAUUAUGAACAACUACUUCAUUUUAUAGCGCUAACGCGCCUUUAAAGCCAACUUUGCAUUCAGCGUUCAAAGUGUUUAACAAAUAAAUAUCGAUUUUGUACUUCUCUUUUAGAGUUAAAGAGUCGUUAAAGACGAACGUUUGACAAGUUUUCAAAAUGUGAGAUUAACACACUCAAUUAAUUAGAAUAAAAACGUCAAAGUUGUUUGUAACAA